AUGCCUGCACCUGCAGAAGCCAAAGCGAGCAGAUGCAGCUCCAUUGACCAGCCGCCCAGGGAAAAAGCAAGCUGGUGUGGCUGGGCAGCUGGCUGCGGUCGCGCUUGGAAAGGGCGGGAGGCGCUGGCGGCGUGGCAGCAGCUCGAGGACAACGGAGCAGGUAGAUCGAGUGAUGACACGCGCGGCACGGCACAGGGGGGCAGGGGAAAGGGACGACGACGUCUGGCGUACUCUAGACCCGACGACUGGGACCUGGGCCAGCGACUCAUGCUAGGCGGCUGCGACCCGCUGCCGCGCCGCCGCUGCCUGGCCCCGGCCUCCAAGCUCUUCCGCCGCCCGCUGCCCGUCAACGAGUCGCUCUGGACGCUGUCCGACGACGGCAACGUCCGGUGGAGCCGCUACCACUGCCGUGGCUACAGGUGCCUGUCCGCCAGGAACCAGCGCCGCGACUACGACCGCUGCGUGGGGUGCUUCGACAUGGACCGCGAGAGGCAGCGGUGGGCCAACCGCACCGCGUCGUCGUCCCUCGCCGACUUCCUCGUCGACGACGUGCUCGCGGCGAAGCCAGGCGAGGUGCGCAUCGGGCUGGACAUGAGCGUGGGCACGGGCAGCUUUGCGGCGCGCAUGCGGGAGCGCGGCGUGACCAUCGUGUCGGCGGCCAUGAACCUGGGCGCGCCGUUCGCGGAGACGAUCGCGCUGCGCGGGCUGGUGCCCCUGUACGCGACCAUGAGCCAGCGGCUGCCGCUGUUCGACAACACCAUGGACCUGGUGCACACGGCGAGGCUCUUCGAGGGGUGGGUGGACCUGCAGCUGCUGGACUUCGUGCUCUUCGACUGGGACCGCGUGCUCCGCCCCGGUGGGCUGCUGUGGGUGGACAAGUUCGCCUGCGCGCGCAAGGACCUGGACGACUACAUGUACAUGUUCCUGCAGUUCAGGUACAAGAAGCACCGCUGGGUCGUCUCCUUCAAGUCCAAGGACGAGGUCUACCUGCAAUGGAGAUUUGGAUGUGUGUUCUCCCAAAUCCAAUUUUGUCCUCUUCAGUGAAUGUUCCUGAAUCAGUAGCCAUUUAUAUAUAUCAUGAAGUGGAUUGGGAAGGAGCCGAACGAAGUUGAACUGUUGAAUGUCAGUGAAUCUGAUGAUAGAGCAGAAGUUGAACAGCUGGAGGACAACAAAAGAGCAGAGUUUGAGUGCAAUUCCGGGGGCAAAUCGCAAUAUCCUGGACUGGGAUACUCGUGAUCCAAGCUUGGGGGCUUUACAUGCAAAAAAAAUUCAGUUCCGCAAUAUCCUGGACUGGGAUACUCGUGAACAGCUGGAGGUCAAGAGAUGUGCAGUCCAGAUCGAUCAGUAUUUGCAGAUUGGUGCGUCCACACGAGAGUUUACGGCGGCCCAAACCCCCCAAAUCCAGUUACACCCCAAAUCGAGUUCGAAUUCCGCCCCGACGGCAAGCUCCGCUACGCUAACAACUCCAACUACAAGAACGACACCAUGAUCCGCAAGGAGGUCUUCGUCUCCCCCUCCGUCCUCUGCUAGGCCAGGAGGAUCAUCCAGGAGUCUGAUGUAUGUGGGGCGCACCUGUUUUUCUUCCUUGUUCAUCAGCAGCAGCAGCGAUUGGGUCCUCGGUCCGCGUAUCAGCAGCGGCGAAGGAGAAGCGACGGAGACGAGAAGAGUACGCCAGACGGCGUCUGCGCACGGGAACGGUAAACGGUGACAGGACACUGAUAUCUGUUUACGCAGUCUAAGUGUUGUCUCGUAUCCAUUUUAGAGUUUGUCUGUCGCCUGCGUCUCCAAAUCAGAGAAGCCAACGCCAACGCCUCCAUUUCGUCGAAUCCCCUUGUCUCUUCUUCCAUAAUGGCAAUUAUCUCCUCGAUUUGGCGGCAGACGCUGUGUUGUGCUUGUGUCUGCACCAACAUUUUUAUUUCCUCAUGAUUAGGGAAAGCUAAAAGCAGAUUAGCUGUAAGCAAGCCUGCU